rnacentral:lncRNA from 1 species
UGUAUUUCGAAAGAGGGAUAAUUUGGUUAUCUUUUUUAAAAUUAGACCGAAUUUGCAAAAUUCAAAAAGUCGGCCUGCUUUUGUAAAAUCUCAAAAUUAAUAAUUUUUUAAUGCAAAUUGACCACAUUUUUUACAUGUAUAUUUAUUGUAAUAUUUUAUUUUCUAAACAAAUAUAUUAUUAUCGUAUAGAAAUAAUAUCAAAUAUAUCUUUUAAAACUUCAAAAAUGUUUAAUAUAUAUCUAGCGAACUAAAAUAUUGUUAUUGAGUUUUGAAAAUUCUUUCAAAUAUAUUUCUAAGUAUAGAGUUUACUAAUGAGAUUUCAAAUUUAGAAGAAUAUCUUAGAAAUAGAGUGAUAAUCAAGGGGUAAGAAAAAGCCGCUAUUAUAUUAUAUAUUAUUAUGAGUUGAGCUCGCGUGCUUUUAACAAGAGUUCAAUAUACUUGCGAUGUUUUAACCAUCAGAUCGUUUCAAAAUCCCUACAGUACUAAUAAAGAGGACUUAAUGAAACACACCGUUACUAAUACUGUACGGAUUUUAAGACAAUCCGACGGCUAAAAAGUCACAAGCACAAAUGCUUUUGUGAUUUCCCAAAUAUUUUGUGGGAAAGAUAAUGAAAAAUCUAUUAGAAUGUG